ACCCAACUCAUUCCAGUUAACCCCUUGAUGCNUUUAACCCGGGUGUCUUGGGCGACUGAAACGUUUACUUUGAAAAAAUUAGAGUGCUUAAAGCAGGCUUACAGCCUGAAUAGUGGUGCAUGGAAUAAUGAAAGAGGAUCUUGGUUCUAUUUUGUUGGUAUCGAAUUGAGAUAAUGAUCGAUGGAGAUAGACGGGGGCAUUCGUAUUGCGACGUUAGAGGUGAAAUUCUUGGAUCGUCGCCAGACGAACUAAAGCGAAGGCAUUUGCCAAGAAUAUGCUCUUCAAUCAAGAACGAAAGCGAGAGGCGCGAACGCGAUCAGAUACCGCGGUAGUUCUCGCCGUAAACGAUGCCAACUAGCGAUCCGUCGGAGUUAACAGAUGACUCGACGGGGAGCUUCCGGGAAACCAAAGUUUUUGGGUUCCGGGGGAAGUAUGGUUGCAAAGCUGAAACUUAAAGGAAUUGACGGAAGGGCACCAC
rnacentral:rRNA from 1 species